rnacentral:rRNA from 1 species
CAGUCGCCGCGGUAAUACGUAGGUGGCAAGCGUUGUCCGGAAUUAUUGGGCGUAAAGGGCUCGCAGGCGGUUUCUUAAGUCUGAUGUGAAAGCCCCCGGCUCAACCGGGGAGGGUCAUUGGAAACUGGGAAACUUGAGUGCAGAAGAGGAGAGUGGAAUUCCACGUGAGCGGUGAAAUGCGUAGAGAUGUGGAGGAACACCAGUGGCGAAGGCGACUCUCUGGUCUGUAACUGACGCUGAGGAGCGAAAGCGUGGGGAGCGAACAGGAUUAGAUACCCCCGUAGUCCCUGUCUCUUAUACA